rnacentral:lncRNA from 1 species
UGGCAGCUGAAUGAUUUCUAAAGGUGACUGUCCCAGCAUCUAAUCUUCUUUUGUAUCAGUUAUGUAGAGGGGAAGAAAGAAUUGGAUCCAUUAAAUGUAGUAGUGAAUAAAUUCCUGAGAAUCUAACAAAUCAGAGAAAGCAUGUUUCUGUGUUUGCAGUGAUAAAAAGAUGCGAGAGCUUAUGCAUACAAUGCAAAACCAUCUGAGAUGUCCUUUGUCUAAGCAUGCAAAGAAGGCAUUACACAGCUUCCUGCUUUAGCACCUUCAUGUGGUUUAAUUCGCAAAAUUUACUGGAGAUUCAAAGAGCAGUUGUCUGCCUAAAUUGAUAUUCAACUAAAAGUCAAUAUUGUUUUCAUUAAAAUAAAUGUUAAAGAAAAAAAGAAGGUAAAUUUACUUUUCGACCAUCUGUGAAUCUACAUUAUUAACAUAACAUCUGUGAAUCUCCAUUAUUAACAUAUUCUAGAAUAAAUUAAUACAUCAAACAUAUUACUUGAUAAAAUAUAAUGAUAAAGUAAUUAUUUUGCUGCCAUAUCAAUAUGUUUAUAUUUAUUUGAUUAGAGUUAUACUUAUAAUUAUUAUUAACAUUCCUUUUUAUUGUUAUUUAUUUAUUAUUGUCGUGUUACAAAAUAAAUAUUUAUUUACAGAAUUUUAAAAUUUAUAUACACUAAUUAUGAGCAUGGAAGUUACAUUGCGCAAAACAAUCUCAUUUUCAGGUAUUUUCUAUAGCAUGAGCGCACAAGCUUCUAAGUAUUGUGAAUACAUUAAGCUUAUAUAAUGGUAUUAUAUAAAAGAGAUGAGACAGUUAGUUGCAAGUAAAAGAGAUGUAUGUUUGAGAGAAAGAAGGGCAGUUUGAUCAGUUGCAAGGCUCAGAGGUUGUUUGGCUUUGGCUUCAAAAGAAAGCAUUUGGAAGGUUAUGGUGAUUAGGAAUGCAUACUGCAAAAUGCAAUAAAGCUUUAUCUCCAUGGCUGCAAAUUGUGAUUGUAUUAUGAUAAUGAAGUCGCUAAUAACUGCAUCCAAUAAUCAUCAUAUAUAUAUAUAUAUACACAAAUAUUACAAGAAUCUUACACAAAAAAUGUGACAAAAAAUUUGGGAGACCAAAAAUAGUAAAACAAAAUAAAUACCAUCUUUCUUUCUUUCUUUUUUUUCUUCAUUUUUUUGUUUGGUAAAUGAGAUGUUACAGUUUGUUCAUUCAGAUGCUGAUAGCUCAGAUCAUGGCUAUCAUCUCUACUAGAUUUUGACACACAAAUUUGCUUGAUUUAGAUUGUGUAUAUAACACCAAGGAAGUAGUGUUGGUUAAAGGCCUAAUGUCUAGAUGUGUAGAUACAGUUUUUUUGCCAACAAUUUGAAAUAAAAUCAGCAAUGAAAACUAGCAAAUCUGGUUUCUUGAAGGAUGAAUUCAGACAUCUUGCUUAAGUUGUGUAACUUACUUCUAAUUUCUAAAGAUCAAUUCAGAUUGAUUAUUUUAUUUUUAGUGUACACAAUUUGGUUUUCAACUUUCAAAUAACAGUAAUUUUAUAAUGAAAGUUGAAUAUAUAAUUACUAAGGGACAUAAAACUGCAUAUAUUAUAUAGUAGU